AGUGAACGCUGGCGGCAGGCCUAAUACAUGCAAGUCGAACGGCAGCACAGUGGAGCUUGCUCCAUGGGUGGCGAGUGGCGGACGGGUGAGGAAUACAUGGGAAUCUGCCCAGUCGUGGGGAUAACGUAUGGAAACGUACGCUAAUACCGCAUGCGCCCUUCGGGGGAAAGUCGGGGACCGCAAGGCCUGACGCGAUUGGAUGAGCCCAUGUUCGAUUAGCUAGUUGGCGGGUAACGGCCCACCAAGGCGACGAUCGAUAGCUGGUCUGAGAGGAUGAUCAGCCACACUGGAACUGAGACACGGUCCAGACUCCUACGGGAGGCAGCAGUAGGGAAUAUUGGACAAUGGGCGCAAGCCUGAUCCAGCCAUGCCGCGUGAGUGAAGAAGGCCCUCGGGUUGUAAAGCUCUUUGUUGGGAAGAAAGCAGUUGGUUAAUACCCGAUUGUUCUGACGGUACCCAAAGAAUAAGCACCGGCUAACUUCGUGCCAGCAGCCG
rnacentral:rRNA from 1 species